rnacentral:rRNA from 1 species
UACGUAGGGUGCAAGCGUUAAUCGGAAUUACUGGGCGUAAAGCGUGCGCAGGCGGUUGUGCAAGACAGAUGUGAAAUCCCCGGGCUCAACCCGGGAACUGCGUCCGAUACUGGAAGGCUUGAAUCCGGGAGAGGGAUGCGGAAUUCCAGGUGUAGCGGUGAAAUGCGUAGAUAUCUGGAGGAACACCUGCGGCGAAGGCGGGUUGCUGGGCCGACACUGACGCUGAGGCGCGAAAGCUAGGGGAGCGAACGGG